AUUGAACGCUAGCGGGAUGCUUUACACAUGCAAGUCGAACGAGUGGCGGACGGGUGAGUAAUAUAUCGGAACCUGCCCAGUAGCGGGGGAUAACUACUCGAAACAGUGGCUAAUACCGCAUACUAUUGUAUCGGCCGAUAUCGGAUUAGCUAGUUGGUGGGGUAAAGGCUCACCAAGGCAACGAUCCGUAGCUGGUUUGAGAGGACGACCAGCCACACUGGGACUGAGACACGGCCCAGACUCCUACGGGAGGCAGCAGUGGGGAAUAUUGGACAAUGGGCGAAAGCCUGAUGCAGCCAUGCCGCGGGUAUGAGAAGGCCUUCGGGUUGUAAAGGACUUUCAGCGGGGAGGCGUUACCCGCAGAAGAAGCACCGGCUAACUCCGUGCCAGCAGCCGCGGUAAUUC
rnacentral:rRNA from 1 species